UACGGAGGGAGCUAGCGUUGUUCGGAAUUACUGGGCGUAAAGCGCACGUAGGCGGAUACUUAAGUCAGGGGUGAAAUCCCGGGGCUCAACCCCGGAACUGCCUUUGAUACUGUGUAUCUUGAGUUCGGAAGAGGUGAGUGGAAUUGCGAGUGUAGAGGUGAAAUUCGUAGAUAUUCGGAGGAACACCAGUGGCGAAGGCGGCUCACUGGCUCGAUACUGACGCUGAGGUGCGAAAGCGUGGGGAGCAAACAGG
rnacentral:rRNA from 1 species